UCCCUUCCGACGAGCUGGCAUGUACACCAGCUCGUCGGAAGGAAUCCCUUCCGACAAGCUGGUGUACAUGCCAGCUCGUUGGAAGGGA
rnacentral:miRNA from 1 species